rnacentral:rRNA from 1 species
AACGAACGCUGGCGGCAUGCCUAACACAUGCAAGUCGAAGGAGAAGCCACUUUCGGGUGGUGGAGACUGGCGGACGGGUGAGUAACGCGUGGGAACCUGCCCUUGGGUACGGAAUAACAUCGGGAAACCGGUGCUAACACCGUAUACGCCUUAUGGGGGAAAGAUUUAUCGCCCUUGGAUGGGCCCGCGUUAGAUUAGCUAGUUGGUGGGGUAAUGGCUUACCAAGGCGACGAUCUAUAGCUGGUUUGAGAGGAUGAUCAGCCACACUGGGACUGAGACACGGCCCAG